GAAAUGUUUGUGCAUUUUUAUUUUGUAUAAAACACUAAUAUAUUCUAGUGAUGUUAAAUUAUAAAUACCCGUCACACUUGGAGAGGUCUACUUCGUGGUACCACAAAUCCACUGGGAGGGUUAUAUGGACCAAAAUCUUUUCAGUAUGGUAUCGCUCUUUGCCAUUGUGAAUGCAUGCAGGAUUAAACUCAUUAAAUUAACCUUUUACACUUUUUUUUUUUUUUUCCUGUUCUUUGUUUUAUCCUUUUAAGUAUUGUACGCAAUGCAUUACAAAGAGCUGAUUGAUGUAUUUAUA